rnacentral:miRNA from 1 species
GUGAGAGAGAGAGAGAGAGAGAGCUCCUGAUAUAUAUGUAUAUAUAUAUAUAUAUAUAUAUAUAUCUCUCUCUCUCUCUCCUGAUAUAU